rnacentral:rRNA from 1 species
UGGGGAAUUUUGCGCAAUGGACGAAAGUCUGACGCAGCGACGCCGCGUGGGUGAUGAAGGCCCUCGGGUUGUAAAGCCCUGUGGGGAGGGAAGAAUAAGGGUACGUAAAUAGCGUAUCUGAUGACGGUACCUCCUUAGCAAGCACCGGCUAACUCUGUGCCAGCAGCCGCGGUAAGACAGAGGGUGCAAACGUUGUUCGGAAUUACUGGGCGUAAAGCGCGUGUAGGCGGCUAAGCAAGUCGGGUGUGAAAGCCCUUGGCUCAACUGAGGAAGAGUACUCGAAACUGCGUAGCUUGAGUUCUGGAGAGGAUGGUGGAAUUCUCGGUGUAGAGGUGAAAUUCGUAGAUAUCGAGAGGAACACCAGUGGCGAAGGCGGCCAUCUGGACAGAAACUGACGCUGAGACGCGAAAGCGUGGGUAGCAAACA